GUUACUUCUUUAUUUCAUUAUGAUUUAUGACAUACGACCAUCACAUGUAUGUGUCCGGCCAUCAAAAGACAGUACCGCAGUCAUCAGACGUGUUGGUACACGAUGGUCCUUAUUUAUUUAUAUUUAUUUAUUUUUAAACCAUGGGACAACCCAUACGUCCCAUACGGAGCAUAUGUAAUGUUACUACAACACACUUCAACUUCACUAUGUUGGUGCAUUUGGGAGGUGUUGGAGGGUGAGACUGGAUCGCAAUGAGAUGGAUAGUAUUAUGGUAGAUAAUACAGUCACCAAUCGGUUAACGAUAUAUAGUUAACCAAUCCUACGAAUAUCAAACAAACAAAGUGGGCACCAGGGUGAAUACAGAAUCACACCGGAAUUUGUUUUUCCGAACUGCCUGACUGUGUUAUGUUCCUGCCUGACUGUGUUAUGUUCCUGCCUGACUGGGUUAUGUUUUAAACUGACUGUGUUAUGUUCCUGCCUGACUGGGUUAUGUUUUAAACUGACUGUGUUAUGUUCCUGCCUGACUGGGUUAUGUUUUAAACUGACUGUGUUAUGUUCCUGCCUGACUGGGUUAUGUUUUAAACUGACUGUGCUAUGUUCCUGCCUGACAGGGUUAUGUUCUAAACUGACUGGGUUACGUUCCUGCCUGACUGGGUUACGUUUUAAACUGACUGGGUUACGUUCUAAACUGAUUGUUUUAUAUACCUGCCUGACUGGGUUACGUUUUAAACUGGCCGGGUUAGCUUAAAACUGACUGGGUUACGUUCUAAACUGACUGUGUUAUGUUAAAAACUCAUUGUUUUAUAUACCUGCCUGACUAGGUUACGUUUUAAACUGAUUGUGCUAUGUUCCUGCCUGACUGGGUUACGUUUUAAACUGACUGGGUUACGUUGUAAACUGAUUGUUUUAUAUACCUGCCAGACUGGGUUACGUUUUAAACUGACUGGGUUACGUUCUAAACUGAUUGUUUUAUAUAGCUGCCUGACUGGGUUACGUUUUAAACUGACUGGGUUACGUUGUAAACUGAUUGUUUUAUAUACCUGCCUGACUGGGUUACGUUCUAAACUGACUGGGUUAUGUUCCUGCCUGACUGGGUUACGUUCUAAACUGGCUGGGUUACGUUCCUGCCUGACUGGAUUAGGUUUUGAACUGACUGGUUGAAUAUUCUAAGAUAUCUUCUUCAUUUUAUUUUUUGGUGUUGGGGAUGAUGUGAGAUAAAAAAAAAAAUUAUUAUUAUUGUUGUUAAUAUUUUAAGCAGUGUUUUUUGUAGUUAUCAUUUUAUGCUAAUUUUCUUUUAUAUCCAUAAUUUUACUUUUUCGAUGCUGAAAAUAAUAGUAGCAGUUAAUUCCAACAAGUGGUCUAUGUUUAAAAGCAAUAUAUUAAUAAGCUUUAUCUGACGGUGUUGCAUCGGGUUCGACCUUUCCUCUAAAUUACAUAAUACAGAAUCAUACCGGAAUUUGUUUUUCCGAACUGCCUGAGUGGGUUACGUUUUAGACUCUACCCAUUCAUCUGGGAAAAAAAUCGUCCUCACUCCCACAUCCCCCCCUUUUUCUUGGGGGAGGGGGGGGGGGGGUCUGACACUUUGAUAGUCGUGUACAUAAUUUUGUAGACUGGUUGAAGAUUAUCAUUCUGUUUGAUUACAUGUAUUUCUUGCCUACGGGUACUGUUGUUUCGUUUUUUUUUUUAUUUAUAUUACAGGUCAAGUCAAACCUGACUGUUUUCACCAUUGACUCCCAAUUGUCAUGGCUGCGGACAACGUUUCCAUGUGUUGGUGGCAUUCUGGAAUUUUCUAUGGACUAGGUGAGCAAGCAAUCUGAGCAUCUGUUUCCAGGGCUCAAAUAUUUUGCUUGCUUUUAGGGAUCCCUCUAAGAUUUAUUACCAGCAUAUAGAAUAUUCUGGACCUGACCAGAAAGGCUCUGUGUCACACAUAGGUAUGGCAUUGCAUUUUUUGGUAUAUUCUUUGCAUUAUGAUAAGUUCUGAAUAUUCUUAUCAAGUUUAUUAAUAGUCUAUGAUUAAUUAAGUGCAAUAGUCGAGUAAGAUAAAUCUAUUUAUUAUUUAUACCAUAUAGUAAUCAAUAGUCAAAUAUAUCUUUAUAAGCACUAUUAAGGGGAAUAACUCUUGGUUGUAAACUGUGCUGAGCAAAUGAGUUUUCUUUGUUGAUAUUUUUAUACUAUAUGUUUUAAUUCAUGAUAUAUAUUAUAUGUGAUAUUCUUGUUAUAUAUUUCAGAGUUAAUUAGAAAAGAAUACAAACUCUGAUAGAACCCUA